UCAAAAUUUGGCAGCAUUCACGUAUCAUGGGAUGACGAGCAGCUGAUAGGCGAAAUGGCGGGCUGCCACAAAAACCACGUGAAAAAUAUCUGACGAAAACAGUUCGUUUGUGCCUAAUGGAAAAAUGCCGCGAUUGAAAUUUUUAUAAAUAUUUGUCUUAAAAUUAAAUGAAUUGAAACGUAGUAAUUUAAAUUAAAGUGUGUUUUGAGAAUUUUCAAAAGCCCUUGUAUCCCUCUCGGCUUCAACUUCUAAUUCGUCGUGUAUACAUAUGUGAAUACAUUUUGCAUAUAUGUGAUUAUAUUGAAAACUGUGUUUGGGUUUUAAUCUGUAAAUAUAUUACGGUUGAAAAGCGUAGCGCCCUCACGAGGAAAAGAGUUUCGCACAAGGUGGAUUUAUUAUAGGUGACAGCAUUCACCCAGCUGAAUUUUUCGCCGUAGAUAUGGUUUACGUCAAAAUGAUAUGCUUUGUUUGUAUUGAAUUUUAGGACAAUUUAUUAUGGCUGUAUCAUUGCUAGACCGUGGUGAAUCAUACAAAGCACUGGUUCGACUCGCUGCUUAUCGAAAAGACGUACAAAGGUCUACAAGAAUUGACAAUAAUUUUAUCUGGAUGUGGUUUAUAUACUGAUGCAUUGAAGUUGCUUUCUGGCUUCGGAUUAUCACCUCUUCCCAUAUAGGUACACCGCAUUACGCAUUACCAAGGAAAGCGGCAAUGAAGCAUGAGCGUGGUCACAAGAAAAUGAAAUGGCUGAUUUGCCUCAUCGCAAUAAAGCAACCAAUAUGGCCCGGUCACUGUUACAAAAACUCAUUUAUGAUUAUGAGUUAGAAAAUUAUACCAGCGUACGUAAAUAUAUAGCAAACAAUCUGCUAAGUCUCAACGCUUUUAUACCGCAAUGGCUAUAUAAUGACUACAAGCAACAAAGAGAAAUGUAAUUUGAUUCCACUGAGUGUGCGGACAAACAAUUUACGCACAUGCCGAAAAAUGCUUGUUGUUAGCUUAUGCAGCUCAUGCAAUGAACCUCUGAAAUAUGAAGCAUGCAUUAAUUAAAUUAAAAACAACUGAGUAUACUACGUUAGACAUGUUCAACUUAUAAUCAUACUACAAUUUGUUCGUCAAACAUCAUCCCUUAAUUGAAGCUGCCGAAUUACCACAUGCACUGUUGGAAGCUAGAAGCGAAUACUCAGUUUCAGAUAUCGAGUAUAAGCAGGAGCUCACAAAUUUAGACGACGAUACCAGAGAGCGCACAGCAAAUAAAAUAUCCAAAUAGAUGAAAUAAAAUUAAUAUAAAUUUAAUUAAAUUAAAUACUUAAUUUUUAGUAAAUUUUUCAAUGUUCGAGAACUUAUGCUCCAAAUACAGGUUAUAGAACCAAUAAAGUUGAAUUAUAUAAAAUGAAUUCACAAGCAUGCUACAAAUUUGUUAUCCAGAGUUUUUAAGUGUUCAAUUUUAGAUGUCAAUCAUAGCGAUCGAUUUGCCACAAAAAACAUAAGCAAACAUUUUUAUGCAAUAUGGUAUGCGCAUCUCAACAGUAUUUAGUAUGAAGCCAUCAUAGUCAUUAGCAGCCAAGG